rnacentral:rRNA from 1 species
AUUGAACGCUGGCGGCAUGCCUUACACAUGCAAGUCGAACGGUAACAGGUCUUCGGAUGCUGACGAGUGGCGAACGGGUGAGUAAUACAUCGGAACGUGCCUAGUAGUGGGGGAUAACUACUCGAAAGAGUGGCUAAUACCGCAUGAGAUCUACGGAUGAAAGCAGGGGAUCGCAAGACCUUGUGCUACUAGAGCGGCAGAUGGCAGAUUAGGUAGUUGGUGGGAUAAAAGCUUACCAAGCCGACGAUCUGUAGCUGGUCUGAGAGGACGAUCAGCCACACUGGGACUGAGACACGGCCCAGACUCCUACGGGAGGCAGCAGUGGGGAAUUUUGGACAAUGGGCGCAAGCCUGAUCCAGCAAUGCCGCGUGCAGGAUGAAGGCCUCCGGGUUGUAAACUGCUUUUGUACGGAACGAAAAGCCCUGGGUUAAUACCCUGGGGCCAUGACGGUACCGUAAGAAUAAGCACCGGCUAACUUCGUGCCAGCCGCCGCGGUAAGAC